rnacentral:rRNA from 1 species
AUUGAACGCUGGCGGCAGGCUUAACACAUGCAAGUCGAACGGCAGCACAGAGGAGCUUGCUCCUUGGGUGGCGAGUGGCGGACGGGUGAGGAAUGCGUCGGAAUCUGCCUUUUUGUGGGGGAUAACGUAGGGAAACUUACGCUAAUACCGCAUACGACCUACGGGUGAAAGUGGGGGACCGCAAGGCCUCACGCAGAAAGAUGAGCCGACGCCGGAUUAGCUAGUUGGCGGGGUAAAGGCCCACCAAGGCGACGAUCCGUAGCUGGUCUGAGAGGAUGAUCAGCCACACUGGGACUGAGACACGGCCCAGACUCCUACGGGAGGCAGCAGUGGGGAAUAUUGGACAAUGGGCGCAAGCCUGAUCCAGCCAUGCCGCGUGUGUGAAGAAGGCCUUCGGGUUGUAAAGCACUUUUGUCCGGAAAGAAAUCCUUUCGAUUAAUACUCGGGAGGGAUGACGGUACCGGAAGAAUAAGCACCGGCUAACUUCGUGCCAGCCGCCGCCGUAAGAC